UUGCUUCGGCAGCACAUAUACUAAAAUUGGAACGAUACAGAGAAGAUUAGCAUGGCCCCUGUGCAAGGAUGACACCCAAUCUCCAUUUCUUAUU
rfam:Mus musculus chromosome 6, GRC primary reference assembly.